rnacentral:lncRNA from 1 species
UUUCUCUGAAAUUAAAUAAAUGUGAUUUUUUUUUUUGGACUAAACAAAUGUCUUGAAAAACUUUUUUUUUUUCCACUACAAUUCAAAGACUACAAAAAGUAAUUUUUUUCCACUGAAAAUUAUUUUUUACGAAAAAUUAUUUUUCACAAUCUAUCUAUACACAUACAUUAUUUCUCAUAAAUUUUGCCACGUGGCAACACCAUAGUCUCUCCUUCUCAAAAUUUUUACUCUCCGGUUAUUGUGACCGCUCGUCUUCCUCGUAAUGUCUGCCUCUUUGGCUUUCCGUUUUAUUAAUUUCUUACCUUAACGUCUGCCUCUUCGGCUUUCCGUCUCAUUACUUUCUUUCCCGUAAUGUAUGUCUCUUCGGCUUCCCGUCUCAUUAAUUCCUUUUCUGUAACAUCGUUGGUUCGACUUCCCGUCUCAUUAAUUCCUCUUUGGCUUUCCGUUUUAUUAAUUUUUUACCUUAACGUCUGCCUCUUCGGCUUUCCGUCUCAUUACUUUCUUUUCCGUAACGUAUGUCUCUUCGGCUUCCCGUCUUAUUAAUUCCUUCUCUGUAACAUCGUUGGUUCGACUUCCCGCCUCAUUAGUUUCUAUUUUCUGAAAGGCGUUGCCUGAGGAGCCCGUGGGCACGACAUACGGCGUCCUCGACAACGACCUCGCCUACUACGUCCGCUCCAACCUCAAGCCCCGCAGGCGCGCCGCCCUCACCCUCGCCGUCAACGUCGGGUGAGUCGAACUCUAACCCUAGCCCCCAACCUUCCUCCGUCGAUCUCGACCACUUAAAUUUGUAAUGUAUAGUUAUACAAAGGGUAUGUAUCCCUCCCCUCUAAUGGCCUUGAAGGACAAGAAAUAUUGGUUAAGAUAUAUAUGGACUUGCCGAAAAGGGAUUGAAGGCACUGUGGUACUUCACGAAAUCGUCGGUGUUAGUAGAGAAUACCCUAAAUGAGGGUACAAAGGGAUCCGAUUUCUAUGGAACAAAUUUUUUUCUUUUAUAGUUUUUUUUUAUCUUUUGUUGUUUUUCAUUGAAUUAUAAUUCUAUUCUAAAAAUUUUAAAGUAUUUUUUAUAUUAUUAAAUUUAAUUAAAUAUAAUUAUAUCCGCCGCGUCGCGCGGGUUCCUACCCUAAUUUU